AGGAGUUUCUCAUAUUUCUGUAGCUCUUUUUUAGUUAUUUUUGUUUGUUCAGUAAUGCUGUUGAGGGUGGCGGUUUGAUAACUGCAAUUUCAUGUAAGACUGACAGUGACUGCAAAUAAAUGCCAGCUGAGGAAUACCAUCCACAUUGUGAGUCUCUGUCUAACUCUGCUGCAACUAAUUGGUGUAAUAGCUCAAGCUGCACAAAGCAAUUGCUAAAAUCAGUCAUACUCAGCAGACCACUUCUCUAUCCAGAUGGAACAAGAAACAAAGCAAACUGAGAACGUUUCAAUGGCUGGGGGCAAUAUUUGGCUCAACGGUUGCGAACACAGGGAGAGCGUCAUAAAAGAGCCACACAGCCAGCAGACCGGGGAGAGAGAGAGUCUGGAUCAGAAAGUUCCAUGAACCUAAAGUGUUGUAGAGAUGAAUGUAUAUUGUUUAGCUGAACCUUUUUACAAAACUUUAUGCAAAGUUAUUUUGAAGCUGACAUCCACUUUGAAGCUGGUGUGCUGUGGCGCCCUGUGAAAGCCAAAUAAAAGUACUCACUUGAG